rnacentral:rRNA from 1 species
AAGUUUGGACAAUGGGGGAAACCCUGAUCCAGCCAUCCCGCGUGUAUGAUGAAGGCCUUCGGGUUGUAAAGUACUUUUGGCAGAGAAGAAAAGGUAUCUCCUAAUACGAGAUACUGCUGACGGUAUCUGCAGAAUAAGCACCGGCAAACUACGUCCCAGCAGCCGCGGUAAUACGUAGGGUGCAAGCGUUAAUCGGAAUUACUGGUCGUAAAGCGAGUGUAGGCGGUUGGGAAAGCAAGUUGUGAAAUCCCAGGGCUCAACCUUGGAACUGCAUUUUUAACUGCCGAGCUAGAGUAAGUCAGAGGGGGGUAGAAUUCAACGUGUAGCAGUGAAAUGCGUAGAUAUGUGGAGGAAUACCGAUGGCGAAGGCAGCCCCCUGGGAUAAUACUGACGCUCAGACACGAAAGCGUGGGGAGCAAACA